rnacentral:rRNA from 1 species
GUCUCUUAGAAAUUAUUAAGAGUCAGACCUGCCCAGUGAUUCCUUUAUUUAACGGCCGCGGUACCCUGACCGUGCAAAGGUAGCAUAAUCAUUUGCCUUUUAAUUGAAGGCUGGUAUGAAUGGUUCGACGAGAGUAAAGCUGUCUCAUACACAUUAACUAGAAACUAAUUUAAAGGUGCAAAAGCCUUUAUAAAACAAAAAGACGAGAAGACCCUAUUGAGCUUUAAUUUUAAUGUGCACUAACUUUAUAUUUAUAUAACUAUUUGCUCAAUAAAAAUUUUAAUUGGGGCGAUUAAGGAACACAAUGAAGCUUCCUGAUUUUAAUAUUAAAUGUUUAUAGAUUAAAUCGAUCCAGCAAUGCUGAUCAACAAAAUGAGUUACCAUAGGGAUAACAGCAUAAUUCUUUUUCAGAGCUCAUAUCGAAAAAAGAGAUUGUGACCUCGAUGUUGGACUAGGGUAACGGGAAGGUGUAGCAGCUUUCUUGCUUGGUCUGUUCGACCAAUAAUUCCCU